rnacentral:lncRNA from 1 species
AUUUGAAAUGUAAACCAAUGGAAUGAUUAAUAAAUUUUUUAAAAAGGAAAAAUUAGAAAAAAAUUAUCUUGUAUCUAUGUGUGUAUGUGCAUUCAGGUGUGGAGGCCAGAAGAGGGCUGAUCCUCUAGAACUGGGGUCACGGGCAGUUGUGAACUUCCAGAUGUGGGUGCUGGUCACCAAACCCCUGCAAGAACAGCAAGUGCUCUUAACUACUGAACCAUCUAUCCAGCCCCUCUAAAUUCUCUUCUUGAGACUACAUACUUUGAGAAGAGAACACCAGCUUCCCCAGCAACAAUGCAACAUUUAAGUGAUGUUGUGAUUACCGUAUUUUGCGACCACUAAGAAAUAUGUUCUAUUUAUUUCUGAAAUUGCUUUCAAAACAUCAUCAUCUUAAGUUAUGAUAGCACAAAAGGAAUUUCUACUCAUUUUAACAACUUCAUUUCCAUCUUGCAUUAGAGUUUGGACCAGUUUGCAUUCUAGAUGAAUCUCAGAAUAUCUUCUUUUAUGUAUUUUUGCCCUGAUCUUUAGUAUGAGUAGCUCAUACUUGUAAAAGGAGGAGUUGAUGAAAAAGAAUAACUAAAGUUUUGAGGACGGGGGUCCUACAGGUGGGGUCUUACAGCUUGCUGAAUUACAGUGUAAGGGCAACGGCAUGAUUUCACAAUUGUUCAAGUUGGGCUGGUUGUAUGAAACCGUUAGGAAUCUAACGAGCUUCCUGGAAAGCUGCUUGCCUCUCCUGUGCAUAAGAAAGGCCAAUGGCUGUUCUCAAGACACAGCAACAUCCUCUUCCUUCCUCUCUUUCUUUUCCCCUGGCCUGAAAACAAAACUGAAGUUUGCCACGUGAGAAGCUAAACCACGACUUGUGAUGUCUUGGCUUCAGUUUGGAAGAGUUCAUAAUUAUUUUUUAUAACUACCUACAACCUUGCACAAAUAAAAAUAUGUCAUUAUAAUCAACACUACCCAUUUCUGUGCUCACUUCCUAUUAUAACAAAUAUGAAUAUUUCCCAAGAAACAAAAACAAACAAACAAAAACCCCACAGAGAAAUGGGCAAGUUUUGAAAUAAUUAAGUUUAUCUUCUUUAAAAGGUAGCGGUGCAAUUUUCUUUACCUUAUUUAUGUGGGGUUAAUUACUUUAGAGGUCUCAAAAUGUAAGAUCUUUAGACUUGUAAUUUCUUAAGGACAGCUGAAAAUAAAAACCAUGAUAUUCCUGCUGCUUAUACACAUCAAGUGCC